GAUGAAGAACGCAGCGAAAUGCGAUAAGUAAUGUGAAUUGCAGAAUUCAGUGAAUCAUCGAAUCUUUGAACGCACCUUGCGCUCCCUGGUAUUCCGGGGAGCACGCCUGUUCGAGUGUCGCGAUAUUCUUCAAGCCUUGGAUGGAUUUUUUUUUUGUCUGUCCUUGGGCUUGGUUGUUGGGCUCUGCCGUGUCCUUCAUUGGGACGGCUGGCCUUAAAAGCAUUAGCCGAUCCUCGUGUGGUACUGGUUCUACUCAGCGUGAUAAAAAUCUGAUCGUUGAGGACAUCUUCUGGAUGGCCAGUCAUCAUUUGGGUUGCUUCUAAACCGGUUUCGCAGAUUGCUCAAUCUGUGUGCCACUUUUCAGCUUUGACCUCGAAUCAGGUGGGACUACCCGCUGAACUUAAGCAUAUCAAUAAGCGGAGGA
rnacentral:misc_RNA from 1 species